UCAAUCAAUCAAUCAAAACCUUUAUUGCAUUAGCAUACAGCCAUAGCAAAAUAAGACAAAAAUACUAGAGACAAGCAACCAAACAAAAUUCAAAGCAAUAUUACUGGCGUAAUGACAUUUAAAUUACCCUAAGACAAUAAUGUAAAGAUUUAGUUGCCAGCGCCAAGAAUCCAAAAUGCGGAUGUAUAUAAAACAUAAAAUGGCCCCAAAAUAGGCUCGGCACAUUGGGUUGAAAAAGUAAUAAAAAGAAUUAAAACAGGUCCAGGUCUAGGACACACUACCCAGUCAGAGUAGCCCUGAGUUUCAGAGCCUGCACUAUAAAGAUUGCCACCCCACGUGAAAUUUGGGGAUUUGCGUCCACAAGAAGCGAUUUCAAACAGUCUUCCUUAGAUGUAAUGGUGGACGGGAUCAAGAGGAGGAGCUUAGGUCUUAUUGGCUCAUAAAUAGGGCAGUAG